CAGGUGUGUUUACCGAGCUUAUUCAGCAGAUACAAGUCAAAGGAGUGCAGAUUUUGAUUUUGAGCAAGGAUCAGAGAUAAACAAGAAUCAUGGCUAUUGAUAAUUGGACCGAUGAGGAAUGUCGGUAUUUUUUCAAUCUCUAUGCGGAGGAGAAAAAAAAGGGAAACAAAACAAAGAAUGGGAUGAAUCAAACCGGAAAAGACUUCAUUAUUAAGAAGUUUGAAGAGAGAUUUAGGAGAGG